UACGGAGGGUCCAAGCGUUAUCCGGAAUCAUUGGGUUUAAAGGGUCCGUAGGCGGCCUUAUAAGUCAGUGGUGAAAUCUCCCGGCUCAACCGGGAAAUGGCCAUUGAUACUGUAGGGCUUGAAUUAUUAGGAAGUAACUAGAAUAUGUAGUGUAGCGGUGAAAUGCUUAGAGAUUACAUGGAAUACCAAUUGCGAAGGCAGGUUACUACGCGAUCAUUGACGCUGAUGCACGAAAGCGUGGGGAUCAAACAGG
rnacentral:rRNA from 1 species